rnacentral:rRNA from 1 species
GAUGAACGCUGGCGGCGUGCCUAAUACAUGCAAGUCGAGCGAACGGACGAGAAGCUUGCUUCUCUGAUGUUAGCGGCGGACGGGUGAGUAACACGUGGAUAACCUACCUAUAAGACUGGGAUAACUUCGGGAAACCGGAGCUAAUACCGGAUGAUAUUUUGAACCGCAUGGUUCAAAAGUGAAAGACGUUCUUGCUGUCACUUAUAGAUGGAUCCGCGCUGCAUUAGCUAGUUGGUAAGGUAACGGCUUACCAAGGCAACGAUGCAUAGCCGACCUGAGAGGGUGAACGGACACACGGGAACUGAGACACGGUCCAGACUCCGACGGGAGGAAGCAGUAGGGAAUCUUCCGAAAUGGGCGAAAGCCUGACGGAGCAAAGCAGCGUGAGUGAUGAAGGUCUUCGGAUCGUAAAACUCUGUAAGUAGGGAAGAACAAAUGUGUAAGUAACUGUGCACAUCUUGACGGUACCUAAUCAGAAAGCCACGGCUAACUACGUG